rnacentral:rRNA from 4 species
AAAUUGAAGAGUUUGAUCAUGGCUCAGAUUGAACGCUGGCGGCAGGCCUAACACAUGCAAGUCGAGCGGUAGCACAGAGAGCUUGCUCUCGGGUGACGAGCGGCGGACGGGUGAGUAAUGUCUGGGAAACUGCCUGAUGGAGGGGGAUAACUACUGGAAACGGUAGCUAAUACCGCAUAACGUCGCAAGACCAAAGUGGGGGACCUUCGGGCCUCAUGCCAUCAGAUGUGCCCAGAUGGGAUUAGCUAGUAGGUGGGGUAACGGCUCACCUAGGCGACGAUCCCUAGCUGGUCUGAGAGGAUGACCAGCCACACUGGAACUGAGACACGGUCCAGACUCCUACGGGAGGCAGCAGUGGGGAAUAUUGCACAAUGGGCGCAAGCCUGAUGCAGCCAUGCCGCGUGUAUGAAGAAGGCCUUCGGGUUGUAAAGUACUUUCAGCGGGGAGGAAGGCGAUAAGGUUAAUAACCUUGUCGAUUGACGUUACCCGCAGAAGAAGCACCGGCUAACUCCGUGCCAGCAGCCGCGGUAAUACGGAGGGUGCAAGCGUUAAUCGGAAUUACUGGGCGUAAAGCGCACGCAGGCGGUCUGUCAAGUCGGAUGUGAAAUCCCCGGGCUCAACCUGGGAACUGCAUUCGAAACUGGCAGGCUAGAGUCUUGUAGAGGGGGGUAGAAUUCCAGGUGUAGCGGUGAAAUGCGUAGAGAUCUGGAGGAAUACCGGUGGCGAAGGCGGCCCCCUGGACAAAGACUGACGCUCAGGUGCGAAAGCGUGGGGAGCAAACAGGAUUAGAUACCCUGGUAGUCCACGCCGUAAACGAUGUCGAUUUGGAGGUUGUGCCCUUGAGGCGUGGCUUCCGGAGCUAACGCGUUAAAUCGACCGCCUGGGGAGUACGGCCGCAAGGUUAAAACUCAAAUGAAUUGACGGGGGCCCGCACAAGCGGUGGAGCAUGUGGUUUAAUUCGAUGCAACGCGAAGAACCUUACCUGGUCUUGACAUCCACAGAACUU